rnacentral:rRNA from 1 species
GAUGAACGCUGGCGGCGUGCCUAAUACAUGCAAGUCGAGCGAACAGACGAGGAGCUUGCUCCUCUGACGUUAGCGGCGGACGGGUGAGUAACACGUGGAUAACCUACCUAUAAGACUGGGAUAACUUCGGGAAACCGGAGCUAAUACCGGAUAAUAUAUUGAACCGCAUGGUUCAAUAGUGAAAGACGGUUUUGCUGUCACUUAUAGAUGGAUCCGCGCCGCAUUAGCUAGUUGGUAAGGUAACGGCUUACCAAGGCGACGAUGCGUAGCCGACCUGAGAGGGUGAUCGGCCACACUGGAACUGAGACACGGUCCAGACUCCUACGGGAGGCAGCAGUAGGGAAUCUUCCGCAAUGGGCGAAAGCCUGAAGGAGCAACGCCGCGUGAGUGAUGAAGGUCUUCGGAUCGUAAAACUCUGUUAUUAGGGAAGAACAAAUGUGUAAGUAACUAUGCACGUCUUGACGGUACCUAAUCAGAAAGCCACGGCUAACUACGUG